rnacentral:rRNA from 1 species
UAUCUCUGUAGAGUCUGCAUAUCAAUAAGCGGAGGAAAAGAAACUAACUAAGGAUUCCCUCAGUAACGGCGAGUGAAGCGGGAAGAGCUCAAAUUUGAAAUCUUCAAGGGUUCUACCUUUACGAAUUGUAGUUUAAAGAAGUGUUUUUUGUUGAGGUUUUGGUAAAAGUUCUUUGGAAUAGGACAUCAUAGAGGGUGAGAAUCCCGUAUUUGACCAUUACUUUCCAACUUUGUGAUACACCUUCAAAGAGUCGGAUUGUUUGGGAAUGCAGUCCAAAAUGGGUGGUAAAUUUCAUCUAAAGCUAAAUACUGGCGAGAGACCGAUAGCGAACAAGUACCGUGAGGGAAAGAUGAAAAGAACUUUGAAAAGAGAGUUAAACAGUACGUGAAAUUGUCAAAAGGGAAGCGUUUGACACCAGUGUUGUUUUCUCGAAAAUCAAUUAAAAAAGGCAGGAUUUUGUGUUGUAUUGACUUUAUCAGCUUUCUGCACUCUUCUCUUGUCUUUUUUAAUGCACUUUUCGUUUAACAAGUCAACAUCAAUUUCUUUUGUUGUAAAAGGGUCAUUGGAAGGUGGCUUUCUUUUCGGAGAAAGUGUUUAUAGCCUUUGGCCUCUGCAAUCGGAGAGAUUGAGGUCUGCAGCGUAGAUCCUUCGGGGUUAGAUACAUUUGUGCUAAGUUAUAGCCUUUCAUAGACAACUUGUUGACUAUGAUCAGUCAUGUAGCUUACUCGCUUAUGCUAUUUUACCUACGCUUAGGAUGUUGAAGUCAUCGUAUCGCG